rnacentral:rRNA from 1 species
ACUCAAAUGAAUUGACGGGGGCCCGCACAAGCGGAGGAACAUGUGGUUUAAUUCGAUGAUACGCGAGGAACCUUACCUGGGCUUAAAUGUGGAGUGACUGCCGAAGAAAUUUGGUUUUCCGCAAGGACACUCUACAAGGUGCUGCAUGGUUGUCGUCAGCUCGUGCCGUGAGGUGUCGGGUUAAGUCCCAUAACGAGCGCAACCCUUAUGAUUAGUUGCUAACAGGUCAAGCUGAGGACUCUAGUCAGACUGCCACCGUAAGGUGUGAGGAAGGUGGGGAUGACGUCAAAUCAGCACGGCCCUUAUGUCCAGGGCUACACACGUGUUACAAUGGCCGAUACAGAGGGCAGCAACCCCGCGAGGGGUAGCUAAUCCGGAAAAGUCGGUCUCAGUUCGGAUCGGAGUCUGCAACCCGACUCCGUGAAGCUGGAUUCGCUAGUAAUCGCGCAUCAGCCAUGGCGCGGUGAAUACGUUCCCGGGCCUUGCACACACCGCCCGU